GUCUUAUUAAUUAUUAUCAGGAAACGACUGCUAAGACUGGAUAGGAGACAAGAAGGCAUCUUCUUGUUUUUAAAAGACCUAGCAAUAGGUAUGCUUAGGGAGGAGCUUGCGUCACAUUAGUUAGUUGGCGGGGUAAAGGCCUACCAAGACUAUGAUGUGUAGCCGGGCUGAGAGGUUGAACGGCCACAUUGGGACUGAGACACGGCCCAAACUCCUACGGGAGGCAGCAGUAGGGAAUUUUCGGCAAUGGAGGAAACUCUGACCGAGCAACGCCGCGUGAACGAUGAAGUAUUUCGGUACGUAAAGUUCUUUUAUUAGGGAAGAAUAAAUGAUGGAAAAAUCAUUCUGACGGUACCUAAUGAAUAAGCCCCGGCUAACUAUGUGCCAGCAGCCGCGGUAAUACAUAGGGGGCAAGCGUUAUCCGGAAUUAUUGGGCGUAAAGGGUGCGUAGGCGGUUAAAUAAGUUUAUGGUCUAAGUGCAAUGCUCAACAUUGUGAUGCUAUAAAAACUGUUUAGCUAGAGUAAGAUAGAGGCAAGUGGAAUUCCAUGUGUAGUGGUAAAAUGCGUAAAUAUAUGGAGGAACACCAGUAGCGAAGGCGGCUUGCUGGGUCUUUACUGACGCUGAGGCACGAAAGCGUGGGGAGCAAACAGGAUUAGAUACCCUGGUAGUCCACGCCGUAAACGAUGAGUACUAAACGUUGGGUAAAACCAGUGUUGAAGUUAACACAUUAAGUACUCCGCCUGAGUAGUACGUACGCAAGUAUGAAACUUAAAGGAAUUGACGGGGACUCCGCACAAGCGGUGGGAUCAUGUUGUUUAAUUCGAAGGUACCCGAAAAACCUUACCGGGUCUUGACAUGCUUCUGCAAAGCUGUAGAAACACAGUGGAGGUUAUCAGUUGCACAGGUGGUGCAUGGUUGUCGUCAGCUCGUGUCGUGAGAUGUUGGGUUAAGUCCCGCAACGAGCGCAACCCUUAUUGUUAGUUACCAGCACGUAAUGGUGGGGACUUUAGCAAGACUGCCAGUGAUAAAUUGGAGGAAGGUGGGGACGACGUCAAAUCAUCAUGCCCCUUAUGACCUGGGCUACAAACGUGAUACAAUGGCUGUUACAAAGGGUAGCUGAAGCGCAAGUUUUUGGCGAAUCUCAAAAAAACAGUCUCAGUUCGGAUUGAAGUCUGCAACUCGACUUCAUGAAGUUGGAAUCGCUAGUAAUCGCGAAUCAGCAUGUCGCGGUGAAUACGUUCUCGGGGUUUGUAC
rnacentral:rRNA from 1 species